ensembl:lncRNA
AAACUUUAAGAUGUCAUAUUUCCAAACACCCAGUGGCAUAAAUAUAGAUGGAUGUUUGGAAGAUCAUGCUGUUUGUUGGACGUUUUUACAUUUUUUAUUUCCUCUCUUGCCUAAGGAAAAAAGAGAUAUUUACAGUUUAUGUUCAUGACUAUGUUGACCUAAAUUUCUAUUGUGAAGCUUUCAGCAAUCAAACACCAGCAGUAAGUUAAGAAGGAAGGAAGUGACUAAUUUAAAAAUAAGUAGAUCUGCCCAAACAAAAUGCUGCUGUUAGAAUACAUGAUUGAUUUUGAGAAAAUUAAUGGAAAGCUAUUAGAAAUAAUGACAUAUAUCUUUCCAGAAUAAUCUGUUUAUGGUAAAACAGGGGUUUCCAACCACAGAGCCCUGGACUGGUUCUGGACCAUGGAGAUUUUUGCUACAGACUCAUAUGGCAUUAACAAACACAUGCUGAUUACCUUGACUGAACAGCCAUCCCAGUCAAAAGCCUUCUGCCCUCACCCAGACUCUGCAAUGCACAAAAGUGUCUUGGAACCAGAUGUUCUGAAAAUCUGACAAAGAACAGUGAGAACUAAACAGCCCAAGUAACAAUCUCACAUAAACAUCACUGAAAUACAACAAGCAAUUGUCUCACAUUUACAAAACACAAUUUGCAUGAAAAGUGUAAACUGAGAAGUUAGAAUUUAACAGUUAAAAACAAAAGCUAAAUUUUUUUGCAAGUUAACCACAGGAAAACACAUUUAGUGUUUUCCUAAGUAAAUCUUGCUUGCCGGGAGCUUGGAUAUUACUUGGCAGGACAUGUGAAAAGAAGUGUUUUUCAGUCCCUAUUGUGCUGGAUGCUGGACCGGUCCACACAAAUAUUUCUCAACCAGAAAGAAGUUGAUAGUACAUCCACACAUACCACCGGAAUAGGAAAUGAAAAAAAAGAAAGCCAAGAUUACAUAGAAUGAAUAUUGCCUAAUGGAAGAAGGCUGGAUAAAACAGUAGAUGAAAAAGUAGAGAACAAAAAUAGGUGGUUUGGGGAACUCCAAGUCCAAAAUGAAUGGGGGAACCGGAGGAAGCUGAAAUGCAAAUCUAACAAUUUUUUUGUAGCUGCAGCCAAGUUUCCAUUUUAUUGUUUAAUGUCAGGCGGGAAGAAACAGUUACACAUUGCCUUGCAGCGCAACGGUCUUUCCUGUAAGAAGUGUGUGAAAAUAAUGAGGAGAAACACUGUUUAAGGACAGAAUGUUAGUCUUCUGACAAGGGAAAAAUACAUUCAAACACAGCAAUCAAAAGUGUUUUAUUGUGUAUACAUAUGAACAUCAUAUACAAGUGUGUGUAUAAAUAUUAAUAGUAAUAUUUAUAUAUAUUUAAUGGUUUGGUUUUGGAACAACACCGCAUUAAUAGCCCAGUGACGAAUAAGGUUUUCAACUGACCAAAAGUUAAAAUGAACUUAAAACUGAACAUCAAAGUAUUUUUUGCCUUUAUGAGGAUAUUAUUUCCUUAUUUCUAAAAUCCUAUUUUCAGACAAUGUAUUUUAAGUGUUUUAAAACUUUUCAAAUCCCCAGAUCAUCACCGAUCCUACACCAAGUUUCACAGUAGGUGUGAGACACUGUGGCUUGUAGGCCUCUCCAGGUCUCCGUCUAACCAUUAGACAACCAGGUGUUGGGCAAAAUCUGGAAAGUUUGGCUCAUCAGAGAAGAUUCCAUUUUCCAUAUUCCUCUACGGUCCAAUCCUUAUGGUCUUUUUCAAACUUCACCCUGGCUCUUCUUUGCUUCUCAUUGAUGAGAUAGCUUUGCACGACUUCAGCCCUGCCCCUAGGAGCCUGUUUCAAAUGUGCACUUCACCCCAGCUGCUGCGUUUUGUAGGUCACUUGAUGUCAUCCUACGGUUCUUGAGUGACAUUUGAAUGAGUUGAUGGUCAUCUUGGUCAGUGGACCGUCGUUUUCGUCCUCUGCCAGUCUGUAGCUUUGUUGUCCCCAAUGUCUGUUGCUAGACCUUGUUCUUAUGAACCGUCCAUCUUUGAAAUUUUCAGGAAGGAAGCAACCUGAUGCUCACUGUAUCCCCCUGACAGUAAAGCCAGAACUGAACCCUUCUUUUGCUCACUCAAAGCUUUUCUUUUCAACUCUUUUGUCAUGGUGAAUAGUUUUUAUUUUUAAUUCAAAUUACCGUUGAGGUACUACUUGCACUGUUUUUGCCAUCCAGGUUGUCCUAUUGCAAAAGGAUAGUGAUGACCACAGCAGUGUUUUUUUAUACUUUUCCUUGUUAAAUUAGAUUCGUUUCAGGUGAACACCUAAUCAGUACCUCAUUAAGCAAAAUCUGGUAUGAUAAAACUCAGUUUGAACCUUAAUCAGGCAUUUGUUUUGGCUACCUAAAGAAUUCUGCAACGUUGUCCUUCAACUUCCAAGUAUGUAAAUUCAUAUUAAAUAAACAUUUUGCAUAUAAUCUAAAUUAUAUGUUUUUGUAGCGUUAACACAAAUGACACAGGAUUUUACUUUAUAAUGUACCAGUGAGCAAAAAGCUAAUUAAACACAUUUUAUGAGAGAUACUAACAUUUCACCAUUGUUUGGGGGGUCCUUCAGGGUCUUCCUGUUUGUGUAACAUCCUGUCUGAUAACAUGUCAAAAUAAAAUUCCACAUAAAAUUGCUCCAGAUUGCUUGUUAUCCCGGAUUACAUUUGGCUAACUGACAGUUUUGGGAGAGAAUGCUACAAAGCAUAACAAUCAACUGGAUGUCAGAUUCUUUGUAAUAUUUAAAUAUAUUGUUGUUAAGACUCAUACGUAUGCCUGUGGCAGAGAUUUUAGUGUUUAUUAGAAUUUUGUUAUUUAUUUUUUUGCUUUUUUGCAUUUCAUCAUGAGAUCCGGACAAUUAUCCGGUAUGACAUUUUGUGACUAUAAUGUCUAAUAAUUCUUAAACUGUGUAAUACCUUAAAUCAGAGGUCUCCAACCGGUUCCACGGAGGGCCGAGUGUCUGCAGGUUUUCUCUCUCACCUUGUACCUAACUGACUAAUUAGGUCACUAAUUGGUUCGUUUCUACCCCCACCUGGUUGUGUAGGUCUGAACUGGGAACCAAUUUAAAGGAAAACCCAAAAACCUGCAGACACAUGGCCCUCAGUGGAACCGGUUUGAGACCUCUGCCUUAAAAAGAUGUUCAUAUGUUCAUAUCUUUUAAUAAUAAUAGAGUAAUAGAUUCAAUAAAAUCUUUUUUUUUUUACAUUAAAAUUGCAUGUCACAUAAUUUGGCCAAAUGUCAGGACUCAGCCCUCCUAAGCUGUUUGUCUGUCUGUUUGUCUGUCAUUACAUCUCCCCGAGUACCAGUCUCCUUGUUCCCGGCACUCCACGAAGGGACCCGUAAUCACCACUGAUCCUGAGCACCUGCACCAGUCUACACACCUGGGGGCUGCUUGCCACUCUCCCUAUAAAUAGGAGAGUUCUGCUUUCAGUCCCUGCCGUACAGCCACACCCGUCCUGUACCUCCCUCCCAACUACCUGGAUCACCUAUAUGCCUUCCCGUUAUCGACCUUCGCCUGGACUGACUCCCCGCUCUGUUGACCGAACGCUGCCGGACCUUCUGACCAUUCUUGCCUCCCGGACUUCGUACCUCUGCUACCCACUAUCCACCCUCCAACAAUACAUUCAUACCCGCCUACGUAAUUCUUACGUAUAUCCACUAUCAUCUCAGACUACUACAAUAACCAUCAUCAUUGUCCUUUUACCCUGGUGUCUGUAUCUGCUUCUGGAUGCUACCUCUGUCCUGAGUCCCGGAAAUCGUGACACCAAAUGCAAUUUAUUUUGGCUAAAAUGGUAUGAAUGGUAUCAUAUAGGCAAUAUUUAAUAUCUUUCCAGCCUUUUAUAUUGUUGGAUUAUAGGUAGGUCUUAACCCACAAUUACACCUAUUCUUUAUAUAGUGCAUUACAUAGUGUAUAGAUAAAACAAAAUUGUCACACAUGUAUCACCUGUACAGUAAAGAUAAAUUAUAUUGUGUCCAGGCAGAUUCACUUUUUUCAAUAUACUUUUCAUAAAUUUUC